AUGCGACCCUAGGUCAUGCGGGACUACCCGCUGCAGUUAAG
rnacentral:rRNA from 1 species